ACUAAAUAGAUACCCGGGUAGUCCACGCCCUAAACGAUGUCUACUAGUUGUCGGGGAUUCAUUUCCUUGGUAAACGCAGCUAAACGCGUGAAAGUAGACCGCCUGGGGAGUACGGCCGCAAGGUUAAAACUCAAAGGAAUUGACGGGGACCCGCACAAGCGGUGGAUGAUGUGGAUUAAUUCGAUGCAACGCGAAAAACCUUACCUACGCUUGACAUGCCAGGAACUUUCCAGAGAUGGAUUGGUGCCCGAAAGGGAACCUGGACACAGGUGCUGCAUGGCUGUCGUCAGCUCGUGUCGUGAGAUGUUGGGUUAAGUCCCGCAACGAGCGCAACCCUUAUCCUUAGUUGCUACGCAAGGGCACUCUAGGGAGACUGCCGGUGACAAACCGGAGGAAGGUGGGGAUGACGUCAAGUCCUCAUGGCCCUUAUGUGUAGGGCUUCACACGUCAUACAAUGGUCGGUACAGAGGGUCG
rnacentral:rRNA from 1 species